rnacentral:rRNA from 2 species
GCGGAAGAGAUAAGUGCUGAAAGCAUCUAAGCACGAAACUUGCCCCGAGAUGAGUUCUCCCUGAGACUUAGAGUCUCCUGAAGGAACGUUGAAGACGACGACGUUGAUAGGCCGGGUGUGUAAGCGCAGCGAUGCGUUGAGCUAACCGGUACUAAUGAACCGUGAGGCUUAACCUUACAACGCCGAAG